CAGAAUCAGGAAAAGACUAUGGAAGCAGUCUGAAAUGCACACUAGUUGUUCCACCAGCUUCCCCUGCCCUCCCAGUCUAUGAAAAGCUAGGCUCUCAAGUACAUGGGGACUGUGAUGACCACAGGAAGCCACCACGUCACAGGGAGGUGAUGAAGGGGGAUGAGGCGCCUGAGAGGAGAAGCCACGGCCCUGCUUCCUCCCCGAGCCAGCCAUGUGCCUCGGCAGCCUGUGCUGUGUGGCUCUUUUACUCUGGGGAGCAGGCUCCAUGGACACUGAGGUCACUCAGAGUCCCAGUCAUCUGGUCAAAGGAAAAGACCAGAAAGCCAAGAUGGAUUGUGUCCCCAAAAAAGGACAUAUCAAUGUUUACUGGUAUCGCAAGAAGCUGGAAGAAGCAUUCGAGUUCUUGGUUUACUUACAGAAGCAAGACAUUGUGAAAGAUACAGCUGUGUUCAAACAGCGAUUUUCAGCUGAGUGCUCCCAAAAUUCGUCCUGCAGCUUGGAAGUCAAGUCCACCGAGGCAGCGGACUCAGCUCUGUAUUUCUGUGCCAGCAGCCAGUCCACAGUGCAGCACGUCAGCUCUUCCUAGAACACAAACUCACCAUGGACCCAGCUCAGGAAAUCAGUGGUGUCGUAGGAGGGUAGGAACUAACAGAAACCCGCUUUGAGAGAGCAUGAACCAGAAAGAAAAAUCUGUAAAUGGCCACACAGGAUGAGCAGAAGGGGAGGUGGGAAACAGCUGGUGGGAACACAAACCCAAGGACGGGCAGGAAGCUGUUAGGGGUCUCAGAUUCCCCUGGUUGCAGGGUAUCUGGCAAAGGAGACACAAGUUGUGACCUUGAUGGGUUCCUAAUAAUCUUUAUAAGAAAUGUAAUUUUGAGCUCUUCACCUGGCAAAACUGUGCCUUCAGAAAUAAGGAUAAUCAGCAGAGGCACCUUGAUCACCUUGCUCAGCACAUUAAUUGAUCCAGACCAGGGACUCCUUAAGGGUUCAUGGCUGCUUCUCUCACCUGUUCCUGCCAGAGGAGCUGAGCAAGAAACUCAGCAACUCCCUAGGUCCUGAAUACUACAAUUACACACGCUUUAAAAGCAACAACUCUGCAAUAAAAUGCACCCAAUUUGA